UGUAGCUCAAUGGUAGAGCACUUGUCUAGCAUGAGCAAGGUCCUGGGUUCAAUGCCCAGCA
rnacentral:tRNA from 1 species